AUGUCCAGCAGCAGCAGCGUCCUCCUGGCCGCGGCGGUGGCACUGACACUGCUGGUGUCGUCGGCGUCGGCGCAGUCCGGUUGCACGACGGCGCUGGUCGGCCUGUACCCGUGCAUGAACUACAUCAGCGGCAACGACACAGCGCCGACCAAGUCCUGCUGCUCGCUGUUUUUCUUUUUUGCGACUCUGUUCCCUGGGUCGUUGACGAAGGACAUGUCCUUUUUGCUUGCAGCUGGAGGCGGCAGUGCUCCGGGCGCUGGCUCGGGAUCGAAGACGACACCGACGGCGUACUUGCAGGGGAGUGGCGGGUCGUCGUUACAUGGCAUGGCGGGUCUGGUGCUCGCGCUCUCGGCUGCUGUGAUCUUCGUCGUGUCCACCGUGUGA
rnacentral:rRNA from 1 species